rnacentral:rRNA from 1 species
AAAUUGAAGAGUUUGAUCAUGGCUCAGAUUGAACGCUGGCGGCAGGCCUAACACAUGCAAGUCGAACGGUAACAGAAAGAAGCUUGCUUCUUUGCUGACGAGUGGCGGACGGGUGAGUAAUGUCUGGGAAACUGCCUGAUGGAGGGGGAUAACUACUGGAAACGGUAGCUAAUACCGCAUAACGUCGCAAGACCAAAGAGGGGGACCUUC